UAAGCAUAUCAAUAAGCGGAGGAAAAGAAACUAAAAAGGAUUCCCCUAGUAACGGCGAGCGAACCGGGAAGAGCUCAAAUUUAAAAUCUGGCGUUCUUUGAGCGUCCGAGUUGUAAUCUAUAGAGGCGUUUUCUGUGCUGGACCGUGUCCAAGUUCCUUGGAACAGGAUAUCAAAGAGGGUGACAAUCCCGUAUUUGACACGACUACCAGUGCUCUGUGAUACGCUCUCGACGAGUCGAGUUGUUUGGGAAUGCAGCUCUAAAUGGGUGGUAAAUUCCAUCUAAAGCUAAAUAUUGGCGAGAGACCGAUAGCGAACAAGUACCGUGAGGGAAAGAUGAAAAGCACUUUGAAAAGAGAGUGAAACAGUAUGUGAAAUUGUUGAAAGGGAAACGAUUGAAGUCAGUCAUGUCUCGAGGGGUUCACUUGUCUCUGGCAAGGUAUUCCCUUCUUGAUGGGUCAACAUCAGUUAGAUUCGGUGGAUAAGAGCAGGGAGAAUGUAGCUCCCCCGGGAGUGUUAUAGCUUUCUGUUGCAUACACUGGACUUGACUGAGGACCGCAGCUCGCCGUAAGGCUUGGCUUUGGCCAAAUACGAGCUUAGGAUGUUGGCAUAAUGGCUUUAAACGACCCGUCUUGAAACACGGACCAAGGAGUCUAACAUAUGUGCGAGUGUUUGGGUGUCAAACCCCUACGCGUAAUGAAAGUGAAUUUAAUGGAGGGAUCCGCAAGGAGCACCUUUGACCGAUCUGUGACUACUGGAACGGAUUUGAGUAAGAGCAUAUAUGCUGGGACCCGAAAGAUGGUGAACUAUGCCUGAAUAGGGCGAAGCCAGGGGAAACUCUGGUGGAGGCUCGUAGCGAUUCUGACGUGCAAAUCGAUCGUCAAAUUUGGGUAUAGGGGCGAAAGACUAAUCGAACCAUCUAGUAGCUGGUUCCUGCCGA
rnacentral:rRNA from 1 species